GUUUUGUACUUCUUCUUCAAAGUAUCGAUCCGGUUCUUACACUGUAUAUCGGUCUUCUUACGGCCGUUAUCACCGUGCCUAGAGUUAACGGCGUCGGCGACAUCUUUCAAGUCAUUCUGCCGGAGAUUUCCGUGGUUGAGCUUGACGUAACGAUUCCCCCAGGCUUCUACCAGCGUCGCCGUCGCUUCCUCACUCCACCAGUCUUCUCUUCCCACCGGUGGACGGUGGGACACACUCGGUUUUGACUGCGGCGUCGUCUCCAUUGGCCCGGAGUAGGAUUAGAUCGGAAUAGAAACAAACAAAACGAAAAAAGAGAAGUUUUGUUUUGUGGGAGAGAAGAGGAUAAGUGUGGCCUGACAUUGAUGACCGGCGGUGACGUCACUGACCGUAAUGGAGAGUUUUGGUCCCAACGGCGAUUAUCUUUUAUUCUUUUCUCCGUUAAAACCGAACCAAUCUCUUUGGUCUCGACUUAACUAGUUAAUACUUAAUACUUAGGGAAUAUAUACAAAGUAACCAUGGAUUCAAAAAGAAUAUACAAACUAACCAUGAGCUACAGUAACUUGUCUGUAACAUGUCGGAAUGCAUAUGUAAUUACGUUAAUGUCCUUUGUAAUAUGCUUUUUUUUUUCGAAUUACAUGUGAUAGCAUAAUAUAUCUCUUUUUAUCAUGUAUUUUUCUCGUAUUACACGUUAUUUAUAAAGAACACAUGGUAUUUCUUGGAAAAAACAUUCUAUUCAGUGUAAUAUCUCUGUAUUUUUCUCGUAUGACACGUUAUUUAUAAAGAACACAUGGUAUUUCUCUGAAAAAAUAUUAUAUUCAGUGUAAUAUCUCUCUUUAUCAUGUUAUUUUGUAAUAAUAUACGUGUUUUAUUAAGAUCACAUGUGAUUUUUUUUUUAAAGAUGAUUAUUUUUUAGUAAUACACGAUUUUUAUUAAGAUUACAUGUGAUUUCUUUUUAAAAAGAUUCUAUUCAGAUUUAAUUUUCUAUAACAAUGUUUUUUCUAAAAAAAACACUACGUAACAAUGUUUUCUCUUAAAAAUUCACUAUGUUUUUUGAAAUAUCAUGUCUUUUAGUUAAAUAUAACAUGCAAAAUUUAAAUGUUACAUGGUAUUUUGAAAAACUUCACGAAACUGUCUCGCAUAUCGUUGAUCUCGCAACAAACAAAUGAUAGUUUUGGUAUUUCACAUCAUCUGACAACAUGGGUCCAUGGCUAUUUUGCAACAACAAACUUUCUCUCUGCUAUUUUCUUAAUUUGAAUGUUUUAUUUGGCUAUUCCCUAAUAUUACCCUAAUACUUAACUAGAUAUUAACCCGCGGUACACCGCGGGUCUAUAAUUUUAUUAAAUAAUAAUAAAUUUUUUUUUUUAAGAUGAUCUAUAGAUAUAUGUUAUUGUUUUAUUUGAUUUAAAUAUAUGGUACACUGUAUGACGAUAUUUAUAACAAAAGAUUUAAAAUUUGAAGUUUUAUUUGUUUUGUUAAUAUUAUUUGUUUAGUUUUGUUUAGUGUUUAAGAUUGUAUAGUUAUAUUUUGAUUGUUAAUUAUAGGAUUUUACCCGUAGUAUAUCAUACUGUAUUAAUAUCGACCACAAACUCGUCCGCGACCAUAUAACUCUGUCCCGUCCAAUCUACAUCAUUUUGUCAUUUUCCAAUAAAAUUCAAAGAUUUCUAAUAUUUGAAACUUCAUUUAAUAUCGACCCAAAAUUCAUAAUAGUAUUUUGAUUGUUAUAUCUAGGAUUUCACCCGUAAUAUAUCGUCCCGUAUCUUUUGUAAAUAUUUAUAAUGUUUAAAUUUCUUAUAAAUUAUUAUUAAAUUCAACUAUUUAAUAUUUGAAACUUUAUAAAAUUCCUAAUAUUAUAAAUAUUUACAACGUUUUAUAAAAUUAAACUUUUUAAAAAGUUUAAAUAAAUAUAAUAUUUUACUUUUAAUAAAGUUUAAUAGAUUAAAUUAAGAACUUAUAUUUAAAAUGUUUUCUUUGGAAACUUUAAUAGAUUAAAUUAAGAACUUAUAUAUAAAAUUAGUCAAAACCAAAAUAUACAUAAAAAAAGUAUUAGAAAACAUUAAACAUGAAAUACAUUGGAUAAGAAAAUAAAAUAUAUAUGAUGUGAUUUUUAACCAUAUAAAACAUGUAAUUGUUAUAAAAGGUUUUAAAAGAUUAGAAAAAUUACACUUACCAACCAAAACACGGAUCCACAGGUUUUUGUAAAAGUAUAUAUCAUAAAAACAAUUAAAAUACAUAACAUUAGAAUAAUGAAAAUUAAGAAUAAGAACUUUAUUUUAUUAACAAAUUCGUUUCCUUUUUUCGUUAAAGAAAAUGAAUUAAUAGAAUGGACUUGUUAUGUUAGCCUAUAAAAGAAAAUCAUUUACAAUCAUUAUGAGGAAACAUGAAAUUCUGAAAAUGUAAAAAAAUACUGGACAUUAAAAAAUUUGUAUCUGAAGAUAAGAAGAAGGACUAACUAACCUUUUAAUGCAUACCUUAUUUGAUAGUUUCUUUGGAGACAUAGUUUCCAAAGAUCUUAAAAUCGAAAGCUGCAACAUAAGAAAAGUAGGUGACCAUUAAUUUUUUAAAAGAAAACAAACGUGAAAUAUAAAAUGUACUAAGAACAUUGUUUAAAAGAAGCCAUAUAAAUCUCUAUUACGAAAACGUUUAGUAUUGUGGAUCAAUGGUUGAAAAGAUCUUCUUUAUAUAGAUGAAUGAAAAGUACUCGAGAAAUUUAGGUUUGACCUACAAAUUAAAACAAUUUUGCAAAUAUUCGAAAAUUAUAUAUUUGAUUCCUAAUAUAUUCGAUUUUGUAUUAUCAACUGAAUAACGUCUAUAUGCAUGGUGGGAUUUAUGAAUGAGGAAAGCUAAUUAAAGAUAUUUCCAUUUGUUUUAGGAAGUUUGUUGAAUAAUAUCUAAACGAAACAAAAAAAUCUUUUAAAGAUAUUUUAUGAGAAAUAAUAUAUUCGCCAAUUUGGGUUGGGGAUCAAGUAUAUGAAAAUCUCGUAAAUAUUAUAUGUUAUAUUUAUUACAUAUACUAAUUUUCACAUUGUAGUUAUUUAAAUCAAAGAUUUUAAUGAGUUAAUUAUGGAAUACAAAAUAUCUAUGUAAAUCAAAAAGUUUAAAGAACCAAUAGCGCUGGAAUUGAUUUUUUUGCUAUAACGAUUACUAAAACAUUUAAGUAAAUAAAGAUAUUUCGUUAUGAUUUUUCAGCAUAUUCGAAUUGUUGAUUAUUUCGAAAUUUAAGGAUGUUUAAGAAAUCAUGAUUGAUUUCCGAUUUCAUAAAUUUUGAUUAGAAUUAAAAAUAAAAGAUUUAGUAUUUAGAUAAGGAAUAUACUAUAAUAAGGAUUAUUAGUACUCGCAUAUAUUAGGAAUAUUCGUAUUGUUAGUUUAUUUAAUUCAAAAAUUAUAAUUUGCGGAUUUAAAGGAAGAUCUUCUCGAGAUUUUAGGAAUAUAAUCGAGAUUUUAGUAACAAAUGUGAUCACAUUAAAUUUUUGAAAGAUUUGAAAUAUUUGUGUCCAAAUUGUUAGAAACAAAUUAGGAUAGAUAAUUUUUGGUUAGUAUCUUUUUUAAUAUUUUCAAAUCUUAAGAAUUAAACCCAUUGACAUUAUAUUGUUGAAUUUAUUUUUUUAAAAUUACGUAAUAUUAAAUAAAAAAAUUAAAUAACUAACUAUUUUCAUUUGAUGGUGUAGACAAAUUAUUAUUAUUAUUUAUGUAAUUUAAUUACAAAUAACAAAUAUUAAUUUUUAUAACAAAACAAAUUAUUUUCGUAAGAACAAUUUUUUCCCAAAUCAAUAUUUUACAAAAUAUUUAUUUUAAUCACAUUUUCUUUCUAUAUAGAAAUAAAUAGUUAAAUAAUUAUUGUUAGAAGUAGUUAAGGUAAUUAACAAAUAUGGUUAGUUUAGAUAUAUUAUAUAUAUUUCCAAUUUAGGUGUUAAUUAAGAAUUAAUGUGGUUUUAAGACAACAUUCCUAAAAAUCCUUAUCCUAGAUCCGAAUAUAGUUAAUCCCGGAUAAAACCCGAAUCCAAAAGACUUUUUGCAAAAAUCUCCUGUAAAAAUGUAUAUGUAGAUACUUAUGACAUGAGCAUUAAACUGUUAAAAAAAACCUCAUAAUUUUUCAUUUAUCUCAAAACAAACCCCAAACUAAAAGAUUAUAUAAAUAAACCUCAGAAAGUUACAGAUCUUCAGGCUUUUAGUGGGCCUAGUUGAGCUAAAUGUACUCGAUUGGGUCAAAAGCAAAUAGUUGGAAAUAUUUUAAUUUUAUUUCAUUGUAAGCCUUACUUCUUUCCAAUUUUUUAAAACUUUGAGCUCCGUCCCAGAUUUCCUUGCCUCUAGCACAGAAGGUGUUUGAUUAAAUUCCUCUGAGAACAUCUCUCUUUCACUGGGCGAAAUCUUCCGACUUUCGAUACUUUUCUGGAGUGGCUCUGCUUGGACUUCUCUUUUGUUUUUUAUUUCCGUUCAGUUUUGAGCCUCCAGAAUUCUCGGAGCUCGUCUGAAACCUCACUUUCUGGUUUCUAAUGUAAGUUAGAAUUCUUCAUACUCAGUUCUUCUUCUUCAAUGUUAUCUUCCUCUGUCUCGCUUACUUUUCUUAACACGGUUUCGGCCCGCAGGACUAAAGAGAACUCAAUUAAAAAAUUUGAAAAUAGAAAAGACUAGGGUUAAGCGCCAAUACAACUGGGAAAGAGCGGGAGAGUGUAAAUUAAACUUCACCAAUCUUCAUUGCCUGUUGGCCUUCGGAGAAAAAAUGCCUCCAGGGGUUCGCCAACUUACUGUCCUCGGAAAGUUCAAACCUUUCGGUCUAAUCGCCGAAGCUACUGAUGGUAAAUCCCCGGACGAUUCCUAUCAGUAUUUCCUCUUCGAUCCUGAGCUCACUGGUGCUGAUGGCAAUGAAGCCAACUUCUCGCGGCAGAGAGAGCACGAGCUCUUCAUCCGAGGCAACUGGUAAGAAGUGUAUACAAUUUACUGAUUACUCUAUAACUAUGAAUUCCUUAUCAUUGGUAAUGCAAAUAAUUCAUCAUUUCAAUUUAGAAUGUGUUUUUCUUUUCUUCAAGUUUGACUCUUUCUUCCAGUAGUGUCCGUAGGGUUAUGCUUAGGUAGAAGCUAAUUUCAUUGGAUAUUGGUAUACCGCAUCUAGCUGAAUUCAUGAUCGUUUCUGUUCCUGAUGAUGAAAUUUUGAUUUGAUGAUAGCAUAAUCUGGACAAGCGGUUCGCGCGUCCUCAAGCGGUUUACCUUGUCUUCUGCCGUUAUUAAGGUAAUGUGUUUUUCUGUUGCCCUUAACCAUGCUUUUCUGUUGUAUUGGUGAGUGCGUUAUACUGUCUAUUUUAGUGUAAAGCUAUUCUGUUCGUUCUACAUGAAUUAAUAAAAACAUAGACAAAAAUUAUUUUUCAUCUAGUUUCAUCUAACUCAUAGCUUUUUAUGUCAUAGGCGUGCUGGAGCCACCUUGGUCGAGGGACAGAAGCUUUUCUUUGUGUGUUACAAAUUGGUUGCUUAACAAUAUACAACACAUCAGGUAAUUGUGGCUAGAUACCCCUGAACUAUAAUAUUACUGCACUUAUCCGACUUUUCCAUAAGACUCUAAUGGAUUAUUAUAUGGUUUAAUGAAAGGAUGAUCUCAUACUGUUGCACAUAGUUGGUCCCUUUCUUUACCGUACUUGAUUUAUUUGAAAUUGUGUAAUUAUAAAUGAAAAUUUAUGGAAUCAGAUUAUGUGGAAUCGAUUUCAUGUAGCUUUCUGUGCAUUUAUCGCUUUUUGAACAUUCAAGUAGAUUAUUAACUGCUAUGGAAUCAGAUUAGCCGCUAUUAAUUUCUAUUUUUCCUUUCCUCUGCUCUUGGAAAUAUAUUGCUUUAUUCCUUUUUACUUGUUGGCUAGAUCUCUGAUUAAUCAGUACUAUUUGUCUCUUUUCUGAGUAACACGAGCUGAAGUAAUUACUUUCUGAUCUUUGGCAAUUGUUGGCAACAGGCGAAGUUGUAUCUGUUCCACUUCCGCGUACUGUCAAAUCAAUAUGGUCUCUACCGUAUGGUCUACUUCUUCAGCAAGCUACUGAAGUGAAUCCAGCCUCACAUGUUCCAUUUUCUUCUGUUAGCCCCAUCCUUAGUUCCCGUGAGAUGCUGCGCCAAAAAAAAGAAGUUGGGAAUAGUUCACCACAAAACUUCCAUUCCCCAGGCACGCAUGACCUUAACAAAAGAGAUAUGCCAUACAUGUCUUCCCAUCUGAUUCUAAGAGAUCCAUUAGAGGAACCUGGGGUAAAUGAACUCAUCAUUUUGUUGAUAUUCCUUGUAACUUUAUUUCUAUUUCAUGCCAGUCUUUCUUUAUAUUGGGACCUAUAUUAUUUCUUUGUUGUUAUCUCAUCAACACAUAAAUGUUUUCCGGUGAUGCAAUACUUGGUUAUACUUUUGAUCUGGUAACUCAUCUACUUACUUUUUAUCUGGUAACUCACCUACUUACUUUUCAUCUGGUAACUCAUCUACUUACUUUCCAGCCAACCUAUGUAGAAGAGAGGGGGAAGUUGAAUAUAAUGAAGGACUACGAUGAGAGAACAAUUUGGACAAGUGACCUUCUACCUCUUAUGACGUCGUAUAACAAAGGUUUGUUAGUUUCUUCUCUGGUCGGGCUGAGCUUGGCUCAUACGUUUUUAAUUUUCAUUGAAAUACUUUGUCUUGGGUUUUUCAGGCAAGAUGCAACAUUCUGUGUGGGCGGCCGAAUUUAUAGAGUCAAACCUUGAAGCUUCUGCUUCAUGUGCAAGCGGUAUUGUUCCUGAUGCUGUUCUCCCAAAGCGGAUUUCUUUUCGUAGAAUAUGGCAAGCCAAAGGUGCUAAGAAAGCUGCAUCUAAGGUGACAAAUCUAUCUAAUGUUCUCGCUGUUGGUCGUGCUACCUUUAUUUGGGGAAGAUUGUUCUUUUUGUGGGUUCUGUUACUGAAGUAUUUACUAUUCUUUUUGAUUUUCACAAGUGCCUCAAAAUAUAUUUCAGGUCUUUUUGGCAACUGAUGAUGCAGUCCCAGUAAUUUGCUUUCUAAUUCUAGAACAAAAGAAGCUGUUAUCGGUGGGACUCCAAACUGUUGAAAUAAAUAACGAAAUCCUGUUCGAUGUUAAGGCUGAUGUAAGCUGGAGUGUCUCUGCGAUUGCUGCUGCACCUGUUGUUGUGACACGUUCUCAGUAAGUUCCUACUUACAAUUUUUUUUGUCCUCUCUGUCACUGUAAAUGAGACUAUUUCUGUCGUCCUGUGAUGAGUAUGACAAUGCUUUUUUCUAUUUCCUUGUAGAGUGAAAAUAGGACUGCUUCCACAUUUGGAUAUCAUUGUUUUAUCUCCAGAAAAUGACCUCUUUCUCUAUGUAGGUUCUUGUUAUGUACCGUACCGUUUUCUUUGUUAAAUAUCUUCCUAAUGUUGUCUGUUUAAUUCAUCUAUAUUAUCAUCUGUAGUCAGGAAAACAAUGUCUCUGUAGAUAUGUAUUGCCUUCUUGGUUGGGAGAAAGUAUUGGUUUCGGGGAUGGAGUGUCUGCAAAAACAGAUUCAGGUUUCAGGGACCUGAAGAUCACAGGAUUGUCUGAUGCUGUGUUAGGAUGUAUCAAUCUCUCAGUUAACCAUUCACAGGUAUGAAUAUCAAUCCUUUUGAAAUUCAAAUGAUAGUUUAGUCAUUUUAUCCUUUUGGACACAAAUCACGUGAUUGUUAGUACUUGUUUUUUGGGUUAGUCAAAAUUUUCUUUUGUUUUAACUUGUUGUUUAUACUAUACUCUUGUAGAUCUUUCGGUGUGCUUUAACUGGUAAACCUUCAUCGUCACUUGCAAAUGAUUGCAUAGCAGCCAUAGCUGAGGGACUACGAUCCGAUCUGUACAGUUUAUUUCUCUCUCUUCUUUGGGGAGAUGGUCAUUCUGACCAGAAAAGUUCCAGUAUUCAUUUUGAAUGGGAAGCGUUAUGCAACAUUUUUCUGGAGAUCUGUCAAAAGCCUACUGUUGUGCAUCUGAAGCAACCCAAAACAUCAGAGUCCUCCUGGGAGUUUCUUCUCAGCAGCAAAUUUCAUAAGACCUACUCUAGGUUUCACAAUGGUAUUACUUCAAUAAAUCGUUUGGAUCUGGAAGGAAUUGUCCCAUUUGAUUCCAAGAUUUGUAGUGAAGAAACAUUGGGCAGCUCAUGUGAAUUAAUGGUCCAGAGUUUAGAUUGUCUCCAUGCAGUUUAUGAGAGCUUGAAGAUGGAUAAUCUACGGAAACAGUAAGCACAUUGGUUUCACAAAGCUUUGUUCCGUACUUCUUGCCUGUUUUGCUUACAAAAUGAUUGGCUAUCUUUUGAUUGGUAACUUGCAAAAAGAGUUGUUUUUCCUCGUUUCUUAAUUAGUUCUCUCUGGUUGCAUGAAAGUAUGAAAUUCUGUAACAUAAGUUCUGUUGCAUAUGCUUUGAUUCAAACGUGGCACAAAAGUUGAUUUAGCCGUAUAUGGUUUCCUGACAAAAAAUAAUUUUGCACCGACAACUGUAGUUUCAUGCUAGACUGUUUGCCUAAUACUCCUCUGUAUAGUUUCUCACAGAAAACUAAAGUUUGAUAGAUCAGAAGAAGAGUUAAGAUUGAAUAGGUAUAUGACUUACUCGUUUUAAUUUUUGACAUCUAUGUGUAGGGAUUUGCAUCACUUGGCUGUUUUGUUGUGCAAUAUCGCCAAGUUUCUGGAUGAGAAGUGUUACUUAGAUUACUACAUACGUGAUUUUCCUCGUCUGUCAACAACUAUUGGGGCGUGCACAACCCUUUCUUCUAGCAGAAAACCCCCAAAUUUAUUUAGAUGGCUUGAGAACUGUUUAAGGCGCGGAUGUUUAUCAACAAACUUUGAUGACCUCCCAGAUUUGAUUCGUAGAGAUGGGUGCUCGAUAGUAAGCUGGGCAAGGAAAGUUGUUUCCUUCUACAGUGUGUUAUUUGGUGAUAAGCCAGAAGGACGGACACUUUCAUCAGGUGUCCCCUGUAAUAUCGCGCCAGGAUCAUACUCAAGUAACGAGGAACUCACUAUCUUAGCUAUGGCAGGAGAGAGAUUUGGGCUUCACCAACUGGAUUUGCUACCUUCUGGUGUUUCUCUCCCGCUGAGACAUGUAAGUUGGAAUUUUGAGAGACUUGUAAAUCUGAGGAAUAUGCAGGUGGAAAUGAUUAGCUGUUGAUAACAUCAGAGUGAUGAUUUCCAUAUACAGUGUGACGAUUUUUGUAUGGCUUUCCUGGGUCAGCCUACUUGUUAUAUCUUUUGCAUAUUAUUUUUGUCUGUAUUUUGUAGGCACUGGAUAGCUGUCGGGAAUCUCCUCCAGCUGACUGGCCAGCAAUUGCUUAUGUGCUUCUUGGACGAGAAGAUAUGGCCCUAUCCGUCUUCAGAAAUUUGAGUUCAUCUAAAGAAUUGGAGAUGCAGUCAAAUAAGAGUUUGAUAUCGAUGUCCAUACCGUACAUGCUACAUUUGCAUCCAGUAAUUGUUCCAUCCUCUUUAUCUGAGUCGAUUGGCUUGGAAAACACUAAGAUUGAGGAUACAAAUUCUGUGGAUGGUUCUGUGAUAGAUGGAAUGGAGCAUAUCUUCAACUCCUACACACAGUUACGGUAUGGCCGGGAUCUAAGGUUGAAUGAGGUAUAUCUGCCUCACCCCAUUUGACAAUUCAUUUUUUUAGCGUAAUGAUCACAAUGUUCAUUGCUCGAAACGGUUUCUGUGUGUGUUAUAUAAACUUUUGCAUCUUUGUAAGCUAUACUUAUGUUGCAUUGUUCUAAAUUUUUUCACAAGGUAACUUGUUUGCUUGUAGUGCACUCUGUACCUCGUCUCAUUGACUAUAUAUCAGAAGACGUAGGCUUACGUCUGUGUCCUCUAUUUGAUUUGGUGUCUGUUGCAUCUGAACUUUGCCACCACUUUGAUAUUCUGUAUUAGUGGAUGAUUACAAAGUUUCAUACUAUGUAAUCAUCCCUCAUUCUGCUAGUGUUGUUGAUUGGCUAUUCAAAUGCUACCAUCUAUAAUAUUUAGGCACUUAAAUUAACAAUAAACCCAUAUUCUUUCUCUUGAUGUUCUCUUUUCUUUUUCAUUAUUCCUUGUCAUUUUAGGUUAGACGUCUUUUGUGCUCUGCAAGACCUGUGGUAGUUCAAACGUCGGCUAACCCUACUAUAUCAGAUCAGGAGCAGCAACAGGUACAAAUUUAGAUAUGUUCAUUUCUAGAUAAUAUUGUUAUUUUUUACGUUGUAAAUCUAACUACUACUAAAAUCAAAGUUCGGAGAGAUAGUUAAAGAAGUGAUAAUUCAGUAAAAUCAUUACAUGUCAUUUUAAGAAAAAAUUUGUUGUGUUGAAUUAUUUCUAUUAUUCUAUUUAAAACAUAUUUAUACUACUAAAAAAAUGUUAGUAGAGUGCAUGUUUCAAUUUAUUAUCGAAAUGUAUACUUUCACAUCACAUUUUUGUAAUUAUGUUACCAACUUAUUUAAAAACUGAAUUUAGAUGCAGCUGCACUUCUAUUUCUUGACAUGGUAGAAGCCAGUGGCUCAGUUUUUGCUGAACUCUUUGUUUAUCUUUAGUGUUUAUAAUGUUUGCUUUUUUUCGCUGGGGUAGGACCAGCUUUGGCGCAUAGCACAGAGGACUGCUGUUCUUCCCCUCGGGCGUGGAGCAUUUACAUUAUCAACGAUACACACUCUUUUAACUGAGGUAAUUUUCUAUCUAUAGUAGGAGCUAGACAUGGUUCUUAUCACUUGUAUUUACUACUUGAAGAUUUAUAUCCUCUCUGAAAUUUUGCAGGCGUUUACUGUACCAAAGCUUGUUUUAGCUGGUCGACUGCCUGCUCAACAAAAUGCCAUUGUACGUAAAACUGUGGUUAUGGUUUAGUACGGGACUAUUACAAAUUUGAAACAUGUUAUCUACUCUAAUUUAGAUGAAAUAACGUUAUUGCAAUGGAUUUUGUUAUUACUGUGAAGAUGGAAGUUACAAUUUGCAUGAAGCGGCAAUUUCAAGGAAUAUAUAAUAAUGAAAAAUCUAGCCAACAUUUGUUCUUUCCCAAUUUUUUUUUUGAUUUUAUUACCAUUUUAGCCACUAUUAUAUUGAAGAUUGCAUAUUUUUCUUACAGGUUAAUCUAGAUCCAAACAUAAGGAAUAUCCAAGAACUAAAGACCUGGCCGGAGUUUCAUAAUGCUGUUGCUGCUGGUUUACGACUGGCUCCGCUUCAGGUUUGUGUUGUAAAUUAUCAGGACGUGUUAUGUAUCUGUUUAAUUUUUGGAUCUAUGAAAGGCCAAAAGAGUAUGUGACCAAAUUGUGGUAUGCGAUCUCACUAUGUAUAUUUAUCAUGCAAAAGGUACCCUUUCUUUACAGACAACCCAAUUAAUUCACUUAUGUUUCUUCUUACAUUUUGCUGCAGGGAAAGGUCUCCAGAACGUGGAUUAAAUACAAUAAACCUGGAGAUCCAAAUGCUGUUCAUGCUGGACUUCUGUUUGGACUCGGAUUACAGGGAUAUUUGCAUGUGUUAAACCUUAGUGACAUAUACCAAUAUUUCACUCAGGUUUGUUUCUAUUGGCUCCUUUUUCCUUUUAGUUAUUUAUUUUUCAUACUUGAUAUUGGGCAAUAGUAACUAGUAAGACGUGCUAAUUGAGGCUUAAUACAUAUUCCAUUCUUUGAUGGAGAUAUAUAUGUGGAUGGCUGCUGUAUAGAGCAUCACGCUACUCUGGCUCUUGAUCAAAGUUAUUGCUAGUUUUACCUGUUUGCUCGAUUUCUUUGGAUUAGCACAUGUCUUCUAUCAUUGGGGCCAUAUAUGUGGCUUAGUGAGGAGAUAUGAAUGCAACAUUAGAUGCUACUAUAAUUUCUGUAGAUUGAUUUUCCAUGUCUGCCUCAUUUGAUAAUUGUGGUCGUUUAAUUAUUCCUUAAUUAUCACAUAUAUAAGCCUUGUACCCUGGUGAAGUACUUUCUAUUUUACCUUAAUUGCCUCCUUCCUUUUUCUUGGUCUUUUAGGACCAUGAGAUCACUACGGUAGGUUUGAUGCUUGGUCUGGCUGCUUCAUACAGGAGAACAAUGCAACCUGAUAUUGCAAAGGUAGAGAUUCAGCUAUUUGGUGGUCGUAGGCUCAUAUCUUGAAUUGGCCUCUCAAGUAUUUUUUGUUGAUAGCGUCUCAACCAAAAACACUUUUUUCAUUUAGGAUAUCCAAAGUCCCAAUCAAACACUACUUUAGGAUCUACCUAUGCUUUCUUGUUAGUUUUAGAUCUGAUUAAAUAAUACUUUUCAUUUUUGCACUGAAAGAUGUCAAUAAUUCUUACUAGCAUAAUACUUUUAAAAUUUUUAGUUCUAGCACUGGAAGUUCUAGAUUUAUUUGGUGCGCCCUGUGUGACUGUCUAAUCCUUUCCCUAAGAAUUUAUUUUUCUUUGCGUACAGGCUCUCUUUUUCCAUGUUCCGGCUCGAUACCAAGCUUCAUAUGCUGAGUUUGAGAUACCAACACUUCUACAGGUACAGAUUGCUGUGAUGUAUACUAACUAAAUUUGAUUUUAGUUCUCUACAAGCAGUUAAUGAAACUAGAAGUUGUAUGGCAAGCAGUUGCAAUGAAUUUACUUACAUAUCCUAAAAGUAAAGCUAUUUUUUCAUGUCACGUAAUUUCAACACUUUUGUUUAUUUGAGCUUCCAAUUGAAGUUAGCAAUCUAUGUCUAAUAUAUGUGAUUCCAACAUUGUUAGUUAUGAUAUUUUCCAAAGUUUCAUUGAUUUGAUAUUUUAUUUGUGCCUUUUAUGUGCCAAUCUGCAACGCCUUUGGCUGGCAUUUUUGAAACAUUCAUCUUUUAUAUCUCACAUAUAUCUUGCCCUAGCAAAAUCCAUUGAUUUUAGUCAUCUCUGCAGAAGUGAUGAUCAAAGAAUCUGGUUGAUAGAGAAAGUAGGACUAUGGUUAACUAGUGUAAUUUUUCAUAACACGCUAUAUUAAACUAUUCUACAGUCUGCAGCUUUAGUCUCCGUUGGCAUGCUAUUUGAAGGAUCAGCACACCUGCAGACAAUGCAAUUACUUUUGGUACUGUCUCCUCCAUGUUUAGUUCUUUCACUUAUGCUUGAAAUUUGAUAUAGCAUUCUUCCUGUCAUCAAAUCUCAUUCUCUUCGUUACAGCAUUAUUACACAUAAGGAUCGUGUUUUAAGCACACUCGUUAGUGAAUUACAUGUGUGUAUCUCAAGUUUUUGUUGGUCAAAGCAAUAGAUUUCAUAACCUGCACUACGUGUCUAUAGAACCUUCUUUCCUUUUUUGGAAAUGGCUUGGAAUUUUUUUUCCCCUUAUUUCUUAUCAUCAUCACAUUCUUUGUUACUUUUAGUUUAUAGGAAAUAGGUGGAUACAUGAUAGAACUGUAUCCAUACAGUUUUGCUUUUCUCAGAUAUUUAAUUUCUUCUUAAAUUUAUAGUUUUCUCAGUGUUGCAUCUUUGAUACAGUUAGGUAUAUGAACUUCUAUCACGUUGAUAAGGUUCACGAUCUAUCUAUUAGUUUAGCUGUGGAUCCAUUCCUAAAUGUGAAAUCGAGGAGUGAGUUAAAAACAUCAAUUAUGUUCAUGCAUAUCUUUUAAUUGACAAUUUAGUUUGCUGCAAUUCCAGUGGAUUGUCCCUUACCUUUCAUAUCCCUCAUCGUACAUGUUCUCAGGGUGAAAUUGGCCGCAGAAGUGCCGGGGACAAUGUCCUUGAAAGGGAGGGUUAUGCUGUAUCUGCAGGAUUCUCACUUGGUCUUGUAGCUUUGGGUAUGUCUUUUUGGUAUUUGGCAACCAAUUUUUUUUUUCUUCAGUUUAAGCUGACGCUGCGUUCUUUUUGGCUCAAGGCCGUGGAGGUGAUGCGCUCGGUUCCAUGGACUCCUUGGUCAAUCGCUUACUCCAGUAUUUAGGAGCGAAAGAGGUAAAUUGCUCUGGAUUUCAACUUAAGUGUAUCCCACUUUAAAUCAUAUCACAUUGGAUUUGUAAACAGUGCCUAUUGUUGUACGGAACAACUCUUUGAAUUUCUUACAGGAAAAAUCUAUCCUUGCACCAUCACUUGAAAAUCACCGAAGUGCUGCACAGGUUUCCCUGCAUAUCUGUUCGUCCUAUAUUCCUAUGUGAAGCUUGUAUUGUGCAUAAACAUGUGCCUUAAACACUUGCUGAAUACUUGUAAUGUGGGUAUCAUUUUUUUUCUGUCUCAGACAACAGACGGAAGCACUUCCAAUGUUGAUAUAACUGCACCUGGAGCAAUAAUCGCUCUCACAUUAAUGUAUCUUAAGGUGGGUCUUGAGGAUAGUCUAACUAUAUAAUGUGGAAUGUGGACACUUUCAAAAAGCACUAUAUAAUGUUUGUUGCAGACAGAAUCAGAGGUCAUCUUCUCAAAGCUCUCUAUUCCUCAAACUCAUUACGAUUUGGAGUGCAUUAGGCCUGAUUUCAUAAUGCUCCGUGUCAUUGCUCGGAACUUGAUAAUGUGGAGCAGGUAAUUUUAUCUUGCCUAAUUAGGAGUGCGGUUAUUGAUGCUUCUAAGAUAGCAAGUCUAAUAGAUUUCGUAUUUUAGGAUUUGUCCUACUUGUGAUUGGAUUCAGUCUCAAGUUCCUGAAGUUGUCAGAAAUGGUAUCAGCCACCUGCGAGAUGACAUGGAUGAUAUGUAUGAGGUGGAUGUUGAAGCCCUUGUUCAGGCAUACGUCAAUAUAGUGGCUGGGGCCUGCAUUUCACUUGGUAUAUAAUAUACUUUUUGUGAGACAUCAGUCUCUAAUUAACUCAUGAUAAUUAUGACAUGUAUUGUUGUUUCUGAUAGGGCUGAGAUUUGCUGGUACGAGGGAUGGAAAUGCUCGUGACUUACUUAACAACUACGCCCUCUAUCUUUUGAAUGAGGUAUAUCAUCCAUGGAAAUGUUAUAUUUGUUACUCCUUUUUCUCUUUCAAAUGCUCAUAAUUCUAUGGGUUUCCUUCUGAUCAUCUCUCUAUGAGCUGAUAUGUUUUGACGUAUGUAGAUCAAGCCUCUUUCUGCUACACCUGGAAAUGCAUUUCCCAGGGGAAUAUCCAAAUAUGUUGAUCGGGGAACGCUUGAAAUGUGUCUUUAUCUUAUCAUUAUUUCUCUGUCAGUGGUAAUACUUCUUAAAAAUCUCCUGUCCAGCAAUUUUCAUUUUUCAACUCAGUCAGUAGCUUUAUAUCAAAGUACUCACUUGUGUAGGUCAUGGCGGGAUCAGGAGACUUGCAAGUAUUUCGGUUGUUGAGAUUUUUGCGCAGCCGGAACUCUGCUGAUGGACAUGCUAACUAUGGCACGCAAAUGGCGGUAAGUACUUUUUGUGGAAAAUUAAGGUUCCUUUUGUUUCAUGUAAUUCAAUUGCCUUGCAUCUUAUUUUUGAAAUUUGGAUAUUAUAAUGUAAUUUCUGGAGCAGUUAUUUUCUUGAAGUGGCUGGCAAUCUUAAACAAGAAAAAAUCUCAAGUCACUGAGCACCCAGAAAAACAUAAAGAAGUUCUACCUCAUUUAUUGCUUUAACCUCAAUACUAUGGCCAAAAGGCCCAUAACAAUUCGUCUCUAAUGUAUCAGUGACUUACUUGCACCGUGUAAAGUAAUGAGAUCGCAAAAUAGCAAGCUUAGGAUUGCAUAUUUAUUGUUGAGCAGAUUCCUUCUAUUCUUUUUUUUUUUUUUUGAAAUAUGAGAUAGGAUAAGUUUCUUUCCUUUAGGUGAGCUUAGCCACAGGAUUUUUGUUUCUUGGAGGCGGUAUGCGAACAUUUUCAACGAAUGAUGGCUCACUUGCAAUGUUGCUCAUUACUCUCUAUCCACGGUUACCUUCUGGACCAAAUGACAACCGUUGUCACCUCCAGGCAAGUUUAAAUCUAUUAUUUAUUCUUUGCAUCACUCUUUUUUGUGUUUGGUUUGAUUUGGUUGCUGUCCCUGUCUUAUAUGUCAAUUCUAUAGAGGCAAGAGUUUCUUUUCUAUAGAAAAUGUUACCUCAAGACCAAUCACUUUGUGGAUUGUGAUAUUAAAGACAUGCUAAGCUUAGAAGUUGGUUUCUAACUGUUUUUGUGAUAUCCAUGCUUUUGCCAGAAUACUUUAAGGUGAUUUUUUCUUUUUUUUUUAGGCAUUCAGGCAUUUAUAUGUCCUUGCAACAGAGGCUCGUUGGCUGCAGACCAUUGAUGUUGAUUCUGGUCUGCCUGUCUAUGCCCCUCUAGAAGUCACAGUAAAAGAGACAAAACUUUAUUCAGAAACAAGAUUUUGCGAGAUUACACCGUGCAUUCUGCCAGAGCGUGCUAUUGUAAGAAAAGUUCAACAUCUUGCCUUCACUUCCCUGCAUAUUCUUAUUACAGAAAAAGACUACAGAAGUUUUCUUGAUUUGCAUGCUCACACUGCUUUCUACAAGAUUAUGAAAAAUAAUAGUUUUUCUGGGAGAAGCACAUUUAUGUUUUUUCAUGAAAUACCUGAGCGAUUCUACCUGUUUGUUUUGUCCACCGUCACCUAAAAAUGUAUUGUAUCCUGCAGCUAAAGAGAAUUUGUGUAUGUGGUCCUCGAUACUGGCCCCAACAAAUAGAGCUAGUCCCUGAAGGUAGUUGAUACAGUUGCUUAUAUAUUCCUUUUUUGUCCUUGGUCAUUUUGUUUACCUGGUUUUAAGAUAUUUUAUAUUUCCAAUGAAAUAUAGAGAAAAAUUGGUGGAGCUUUGGGGACAAGAGUGAUCCCUUCAAUUCUGGUGUUAUAUAUGUCAAAAGAAAAGUAGGAGCUUGUUCGUAUGUUGAUGAUCCAGUUGGCUGUCAGUCGCUGCUUUCACGAGCAAUGCAUAAGGUUGUAUACGCCAUCAUAUACUCUCAACUCAGAUAGAUUAAUUUGCAGUCGUAGAAAAAUGGUUCUGAUACUGGGUUGUAUGCUUUCUGUGAUACAGGUUUUUGGUUUAAGAACUCUGGGAGAAUCUAAUAUGAUUGCUAAUAGUCAUAGAGAACUGGACUCCGAAAGUGUUGAUCACUUGGUCAGCACUUUCUCAUCAGAUCCAAGCCUGAUAGCGUUUGCACAGUUGUGCUGUGACAAAUCUUGGAAUAACAGGUAAGUACUGUUUCAUCCGGUUGAUACACAUGUCACAUGUGUUUGUGCUUUUAGAUCUCUUUGGCCUCUAUAUCCUAAAGUCAUAACAGAGUUUGAUAGAAGCCCCCAAAAGGGUGAAUUCUCACAAAUUCAUUUAUGCAGAUCUGAUUCUGAAUUCAAGGAGUUCUGUCUGCAAGUGUUGUUUGACUGUAUAAGCAAGGAUAGACCAGCUCUUUUGCAGGUGAUUGCUACUUAAAGCCACCUAACCCUAUUAUUCAAUGUUUAACGAAACAUUCUUGUUGGCAUGUGUAUUCUAAUCUUGAGUAUACGUUAUAUGAUUCUUGUAGGUUUAUUUAUCCUUGUAUACAACCAUUGGUUCCAUGGCUGAUCUGCUUGUCAAAAGCGAUAGUAACAUGUGUGAUUCACUUUCCAUCUCAAGCCUCAAGGUACUGUUCCUGCAAAUGAUGGAACCGAAAGACAGAAAAUUGGUUUACAUUUUGUAAUCAGCUUUGAGUUCCUAUAUUUGGAUCUAAUCUUAUGAUCUCAGGUUGCUCUUGCCUACAACGAAGCGGUAUCAAGUGGAAGAUUGGCCUCUUCAGGUGGCUUUGUACAAUCAAUCUUCUUAUCAUCGCUGAGAAAGCGAUGUGAAGAGAUUUUGAAUUGUUCAACGGAGCUGAAGAUUAAUUUGAGGAAUUAUUUGACCUCAGAAGCAUGGCCUGAUGAUAAGAGCUCAAAGUUGCAGAAAGAUAUAAUAAUUCUCUCAUGGUAUUUAAAAUGGUUCAGCGUACCAUCUCCAUCGAUCAUCAAAGCAGCAGUGGAAAAGAUCAAAUCCAAGUCCAAAAACUCAACUUGGGCAAUACCUUUGUUGCGGUUGUUGUUACCAAGUACGCAUAUUAGUGCGAUUAGUGAAAUUGAUAGUGUGUUUUUUUCCUCAGAUGAGACAACUGUAUCGUGAAAACAUGAUUUCGUACUCUCUUCGUUUGGCCUAUUAAUUAGCAGAUUAAUAUUGUGAGCAAAGCAAUCAUAUGGUCAAUUUCAAAUGCGUAUGACAAAAGCAUAUAAUUCACGGACAGAACUAGUUAGUAUAGAGCUUAGAAUUUACUAUUAAAUGGGAAAUAGCAAACAAACUUAAGAGGACAGAUUCAAUCAUAAUCCUUCAGUUAUUUAUUAGCUGUCUCUUAGUCGGUCGGGGGCAUUACGUGGUUAAACGGACCGGGCUGUUUACACCUAUUUCCAAAUUGGCCCACCUCUAAUGGGCUUUGAAUUUGGCCCAUAGUAAUUAUCGUUAUUAUGGCGCUUAGGGUAACGGUACGGAAGAUCCCACUUCAUUCCUUUCCUCUUGCGCUCGUCAAAAGAUCUACCGGCGAAUCGAAUCUCUGUGAAAUCGCAACUCUCAGGUAAUUCUAAAUCGAUUCAGAAAUUGUUCCGACGGCUCGAGCAAAUCUCUUGGCUUUUUUUUCUCAGCUACCAGUCACUUUCGUUGCUUGUCUUAAGGCUGAAAAGGAUUGAUUUUGUUCUGUUAGGCGAAAGAUUUUUCCCUAAUUUUAUUAACUUGUUAAAAAUUCUUGUUAGUUUGCAGGAUGAGGGAGUUUUUGAGAAUUAAGACGUUCCAAUGCGAUGACAAAAAGUUCAGUAUCAUCUACCAUUGUCCUCACUGUGUCUCCAUCACCAACCUCCAGGUUUACCGGAGCGGACAAGUCUUCACGUUUGUGGACCGUGGGUCUCACUAUCCUGUGGUGAACGUGACUUGGGAGGAGGAUGGCAGUGUUCAGAUCCAAUGGCCAAGGCAUGUCUGGAUCUAUUCAAGUUCUUCAUUAGGUUGUAAUAGAUGUUGCUGCUUUGACAAUUUGGAUGCCUAGUUUUUUUUUCUUUUUAUCAAGCAAUCUGCUUUCUUGACAUUUGGAAUGUAAUAAGAGACGAAACAUGAUUCCGAGUGCCUUAGGUUGCUAUUGUAUCAAGUGUUCAACAUCUUUUCCUCACUUCCUCUGCUUAUCUUUAUGAACUGAAAAAGACUACUCUAGUUUUCUUGAUUUGCAUUAUCACACUGCUUUAUACAUGAUUUUGAAAACAAAUCUAGUUUUUCUGGGAGAAGUCUCAUUUGUGGCAACUGCAAGUUGAACAUCAGAAAACUAGCUAGGGCCAUAUAUGUCAGGUUGCUCUUGCUUACAAUGAGGUGGUAUCAAGUGGAUGAUUGGCAUCUUCGGGUGGCUUUGUACAAUCGAUCUUCUUUAGCAUCACUGACAAAGCUAUGUGAAUUGCUCGCUGAAGAGAAAGAGAAAGAAGUCUCAUUUAGGAUUACUUUACCAAUAUGCAUCACGAAAACAUUGGUUCACAUCAACACUAAUCCCGGCCAGAAGAGUGGUUCAACAUUCAUUAAGAACCACUGCAUCGCACAAUUGUUUCACAUUCCCACUUUUUCCUCGUAACAAUCCCAUAGAAGCCACCACAAAUCAAUCCAUUGAGAGAAAAUAAUGAUUUCACCACAAAGCAAAAGAGAAAAAGCAAUGUGAGUAAAAGAUUACAACAUUGUAACCUGACAAAACAAACAUUCACAAAAUGAUAAACAACCUAAAACCAUGUAGUCCACUAGACACACUGUUGUGAACCGGUCCCAAUUUACAUAAAAUUGGACCGAACCGAAUAUUAUUUUUAAACCGGUUUCCGGUUUAAGAAAACACAAAACUCGGACGGCUUCAGUGAAGAAAAUUCAAAUCAUCGGUCAUCCUCUCUGACUCUCUCAAAUCGAAUCUCAAGUUUUCUUCUUAUUCUACGAUCAGAUUCCGACGAACAAAAUUCUCUUGCUUCCACCGAUUUCUCCGUCCGAUGCAUCGUCUCGAUUGAUAAUUCUAUCCUCGUUUAAAAGACAAGUUGUUCCACCGGAGGAGUGAGCAAUCGGCUCUCAUCUGUCUUGAUCUAGCUCGAUGUUCGCCAGAAAAUUUCUGCAGAAAUCCUCCGGCGGUCAGAAUCCUCCUCCUCCUCGGGUAUUCCAUCCUCAUCUCUUUUAAUUCUACUAUCCUUGAGGAAUAUAAGUUCCAUUUUGAUGCUUCUACAUUAUUCUCCCGCUUGGAGUUUCACUCUCGGGUACACUAGCUUAGGAUUUUUACCUUCUGGGCUCAGCUGUAUUUUUCUGUGGAAUUUGAUUGAUGCCUAUAAUGUCCCCAAGUUUUGAAAUUUGCAAAUAUUUUCUCUGCAAUGAAUAGUUUCUUCUAUUUUAAAUGUAGUCGAUGUCACUCAUAUAUGGCUACGAAUCUAGGAUUGGGAAUAUGUUGGAGACGAGAACUUCAGAAAAAGAAAUGUACUUUACAAAACUUAGAUUGAGAUGGCUUCACAGAGAGAGAUGUCUCGUUUAGGAUUGAACGCAUGCUACUUACCUUAUCAUGCAUCACAAAUACAUUGGUUCACAUUAAGUCUUUAAAUUCCAUGUUUCACUUAAGACAGCUCCAAACCGUUCUCUAUUCCAGGAAUGCUAUUUUGCUUUAGACGUUCACAUGUAGUAUGAAUCUUUGCAGGGAUGUUUGAUAGCAGAAGACUUGGAUCCCCAUUUAGUCACCCACUGUGGGAUACCUUCGACGGCAUCUCUUCUUGCCUUUGACCCUAUUCAAUGCCUCUUGGCUGUAGGAACUCUGUAAGUUCUUGUCUAAGAAAACCAUAAUAUCUAUGAUGAGAGAAACAACUAUCUCCCUUGUUUCUAUUUCAUUUUAACUUUUAAAAGUAAUGUUCUUUUUGCUAACCCUUUGCAGAGAUGGAAGGAUAAAAGUGAUUGGUGGCGAUAACAUCGAGGCGAUUCUUGCAUCUCCUAAGCAGUUACCUUUCAAAAACUUAGAGGUUUGUGGUAUUCUGUUCACCUCUUGAUAUUUUGAGAGGCUACAGUCACGUUCAGUUUCAAAAUAUUGGUGUCUGAUUAUAGCUUCUGUGUAGUUCCUUUUUUAUUUCCUGACGUUCUUGCUAGUUUAAAUCUCUUUCUUCUUAUAAUGGUUUACAAGAAGUUCGAUCACAUAUACUAACUUUCAUGUUCAAAUAUCCUUUGAGUCGAUCUUAUUUGAGUGCUGUAGUGGGCAGAAAUGGUUUUUCUCUAGUCUAUUCCUUUCUGGAUAGAUCAACUUACGUUGUGAAUGUGGGACAUAUAUAUUACAGUCCAACUGCUUUGUGAUCCCAGUUAUCUGUAACUCCACUUGACAUUUUAUCUGUAAUUUUUACAGUUCAUGCAGAACCAAGGCUUUCUGGUUAGCAUCUCAAAUGAAAACGAGAUUCAGGUAACAGUUCAGUGUGACGUUUGAAACUUCUAUAUUAUCAGCUGAUGUCUUCACUUCUGUUUGACUUUCUUGACUCUCAUCUUAUAAUCAUCCACUCCUUCAUUUUUCUCAACAACCUAUUGGGUCGGUUUCAUCAACAAAGUUUCCCUAUUUAUUAGGUUUGGGACUUGGAUCUUAGGCAACCAGCAUCAAGCUUAAAAUGGGAGUCAAACAUUACUGCUUUUGCAAUCCUUCAUGGCACUGGUUACAUGUAUUGAGCUUAUUAGGAUUACAAUUUGGAGCACUAUUUUUCCAUUGACAGUUACAAUGGCGUAAUUAACUGUGUUUCUUAUCUCGUUCACAGGUAUGUUGGUGAUGAGUACGGUAUGGUGUCUGUUAUAAACUACAGUGCUGAUGAAGGGAAAUUACUGCAGCUUCCUUAUUAUGUUCCAACUGAUGCUUUAGCUGGUAUGCGGGGUCCUUCUUUCAAUGUGAUAAUCAAAUGUGUUUAGAAGCACUACUGAGUUUAGAAAGUUUUAGUUUUCAGCGCUUAGGCAUUAUUUUAUUUCUUAGUGGUCUAUCUACCUUCACCAAAAAAUUUGCAAAGUAAUUCUUGGCAGGGAACCAUAUCCACUUCAUAGUUCAGAUUAAAUGCAAACAUGAAGACCUUCAGCGUUGCAUUUAAGUUAUUCUUUUAAAACUUAUUUUCUCCCAUUUCCCUCUUUCUGCAGAAGCAGCAGGGCUUUCAUCUCCUAUUGAUUAUCCGGUUGUUGGACUUCUUUCUCAGCCUUGUUCAAAGGGAACUAGGUGAGACAAGAUUUAUUCUGAUAUUAUGCUUGUUUUUUUAACCUAUAGAUGGAAAGCAUUGCUUGAUAAGUUCAUUACUUCAAAUUUUAUCUUCUCAUUGAACUUAAGUGCUAUAUAAGGAGUUGUGUCUCUAAAACUGACCAUAUGUGCUUGUCAUAGCAUUUGAAACUAGUCUUUUCCUUUUUUACUUUUCCCUCUGCGUCUAUUAAUUAUUUAGUUUUAUGCUCCAAUGUCCCCUACUGGUGAGUUUAAAAUUAGAACACCAUCUGAAGACAUCAUAGCUGGAAAUAGUGAAAGCAUUUACUUAUCUUCAUGUCUAACUUGAGAGACAUUGUAUCAUUUUUUCUUUUUUGGACUGUGAUUCUAGUCCCGUCAAAAGAGUUCAAAUCUUCAUUUUGCUAUGCUAUUACACUGUACUAUAAGUAAGAAUAAGAUCUUUCUUAUGAUUAAUUUUCGUAACGAUUUUGAAGGAAUUAUCCUGCAGAUUGUUGAUUGCAUUUUCAAAUGGAUUACUUUUUCUUUGGGAUGCAUUGGAAGAUCAUGUCGUUUUAGUUCGGGGGAACAAAGAUCUACCUGUGGAGGGUAGCACAGUUGCUGAUACUCUGGAAGCCUCACAUGAUGAGCUUUCUGAUCUUGAACUCGAUGGAAAAGAGAUAAGUUCUUUGUGUUGGGCAUCAACUGAUGGUUCAGUUCUUGCUGCUGGCUAUGUGGAUGGGGAUAUAUUAUUUUGGGACUUUUCUGAUGGGCAAAAGGGGAAGCCAUCCAAUCACGUUGUUAAGUUACAGUUGUCUUCGGCUGAGAAAAGACUUCCUGUCAUUGUUAUGCAUUGGUGUUUGGAUGUAUCUCGCAAGAGUAGUGGUGGAAAACUCUUCAUCUAUGGUGGUGAUAUCAUUGGAUCUGACGAAGUACUUACGGUAAGAACUCAGCUCAAAUCAAAACGUUCAUAGCACAGAUUGGUGAUCUUGGGCCAAUUAUAAACCGAGUUUCUUUCCAAAAAUAAACAUACGAAAAAGAGUCGCAACUUUUCUUCUAAACAUGUUGCAUUUUCAUGGUACAAGGGAAACCCAAACAUGAAUCUUACCUUGUAGAUGAAAAUGAAUAGCCUAAUAUGAUGUCCUUUUGCUGAUCACCAUGUGCAGAUGUUAGGUCUUGAUUGGUCUUCUGGUAUGGGAGGUCUGAAAUGUGUUGGCCGUGCUGACCUGACCCUUAGCGGUUCAUUUGCUGAUAUGGUCUUGUCUCCAAUUGCCAGUUCAAGGCAAAGUGGGAUGUUUUUAUUUCUGUUGACAAAUCCAGGACAACUGCAAGCAUAUGACGAUGCCUCUCUGGCUUCACUGAUGUCUCAGAAAGAGAAUAAGAUUUCUGUUUCUCCACUGCCAUAUCCAAUGGUUGUACCAACGAUGGAUCCACAUAUGACAGUAGCAACGUUUGCUGCAUUAAAUGUGAAUGAUAAAACGUCAUUAGCUCUUUCUGAGGUAGUCCCUCUACAAAUUUCCCUAGUUGUGCUUCCCAUUGUGAGGCAAUUAAUUUAUAUCUUAUUCCUGAUAGAUAGUCUUAGCUGCAAAAGCUCGAACCCCACGUACUCCAUCCGUAGAAAGUGCACAAUGGCCUCUGACAGGUGGUGUUCCAAGCCACCUUGAUGACUACAAGCUUGAAAGACUUUACAUGGCAGGAUAUCAAGACGGGUCUAUGCGAAUAUGGGAUGCAACCUAUCCAUGUCUGUCUCUUAUUUAUAUUUUGGAGCCCAAGGUGUUAAUGUUAUAGCUUUUCUUCUUUUGAGCUUCAUCUUAAAAACUCGUUUAAAUAUUUUGAUGAGAAGGAUUGCCUGCAAUAAAUAAUUUCAUCCUUCACCAAUGAUCAGGCAAGUGUUAUUGACAUAACUGGAGUAGAUGCAUCAGUAACGGCAUUUUGCUUCUGCUCUAAGACUUCUUGUUUGGCUGUUGGUAACGAAUGUGGUAUGGUAAGAAGACCUGUUUCUGUUGAUACCUUCUUGAUUUCAGCUUAGAUUUUAAUGUGCAUCUGAUUAUUUCUCGCUUUUCUGAAUCUGUAGGUUCGCCUAUUCAAGCUGGUCGGCCAUACAAGUGGAGGAACCUUGGAAGUUGUUACCAACACUGAGAAGAAAGGUUUGGCAAUUGUUACAACGUUGACACUAUAGAUUUGUUAUGCUUUAUCUCAUGCUGUAGGUUCAUUACUUGUAGCUCACCAUUUGUAUCAAGAAGAUGGUCCUCAAUGGUUGGCUGCGUUUUCAUUCCUGAGUUCCCCAGUAUGCACCCUGCAAUUUGUACAGUCUACAAGAAGGCUUGCCGUGGGAUUUAAAUGUGGCAAGGUAGGGAAUUAACAUAUGUUUAAGUGUCGGCAUACAGCUGCUUUCUCUAGUUGAAAGUAAACAAAUUAAAUUUUCAUUUCAAAUUUCAGGUUGCAAUGCUUGACAUUGGUGUGCCGUCAGUAUUAUUCGUUACAGAUAGCUUAUCUGACUCCGGUUCUCCGAUCAAGUCACUCUAUGUGCAAUCCUCUUCAGCUCCAACAGGCUCAAAAAGUGAUCCAACUGAUCACAACUCCAUAAAUUCUGAAGAUAUUUUAAUCUUGUGUGCAAUGACCAAAGAUGGACAAACCAUUCUUUUGGAUGGCAAUACUGGGAAAAUACUCGCCUCAUGCUUGAGACCUGUAAAGAAUCCAACUGCGAUUUGUAUGCACAUUAUAGGUAGUUUAUCUGAUACUAACAUAAAAGUGUGUUUUCUUAUGCAUCUAGUAUUCAUAAAAAUAACUCUAUUUUGCAGAGAACUGCUAUGAAAACUCUGAAACGCCCAAUGGAAAACCAGCUGGAAAUCCAUCUGGGAAGGAGAAACAUGAGAACAAAUCUCAUAUAAUCAACGCUAGUGAGAGUCAUUCACCAUCUGAACAGAAUGCUGUCACAGAAACAAAACUUGCUGAUCAGAUGUUUGCGAACUCAGUAUUUCUCAUGUGUUCGGAGGAUGCACUGCGCUUGUAUUCUUUAAAGUCUUUAUCUCAGGUAAAUACAGGAUCUACCUUUAUUUAUGAAACCUAAAGUAUCUUUCUGGCUUUUUCUGAUAUCAAGGACUUGCUAUCAAUACCUAGGGAAGUCUUGAGUGCAUUAUGGAGGUAAAUCUUCCAAGGCCGUGUUGCUGGAUGGGAAUCCUAAAAAAAAAUGGAAGGGAAUGUGCAGUACUCCUGCUUUACCGAACAGGGCAUAUUGAAAUAAGGUGAAUUUCUAAUUGGCUACCACAAGUAUCAUAUAUAUGCCAGAUAAAAGUUAGUUACCAAAUACAAUCUUGUAACUAUCUAGUCUGCAGCCAUUGAUUGCUCAGAAAUCAGCUCUAAAAGAAUGGUUUCUUAAUUGAACAGAUCUUUUCCGAAUCUUGAAGCUGUGGGAGAGAGCUCUUUGCUUUCACUUCUUAGGUGGAACUUCAAGCCUAACAUGGAGAAGACAGUGUGUUCGGAUGAUUUAGGUCAUGUCGUCCUGGUGAGAUUUCUUAAAAGAUAGCUUUCAACAUGUGAUGUAUAAAGUAUGCCAAGUUAGAUCUUGGUUUAUGAGUUGGCAUGUAUAACAUCAUAAGAGAAUAUUUUGUUAUCUCAGAUGUUAAGGACUAAUAAAACUAAAUAUACAGGUAAAUGGUUGUGAAGUUGCCAUCCUUUCGUUUUUGGCCCACGCAAACGGCUUCAGGUACUGGCUUACUGUUUGCUGUUCCAUACUUUGUUUCUCAGUGAGUCAGUGACUACAACUAGAACUUUUGCAUGCAUAGCUAGCAAAGUAGCAGUUAAGUUACUAAUACCAACUCUGCAUUCAUCUCAGGCUCCCAGAGUCUUUACCUUUGCUUCAUGACAAAGUCCUUGCAGCAGCUGCUGACGCUACCUUUAGCCAUAUCUCUGCUCAUAAGAAAAAUCAUGUAUGUUCUGUUUUCACAUGUGAACCCUUUUUUCGUAAGCUCCAUUGUUUUGCUAUAAAAAAUGUCUGUGACCACAGGAUGGCGCUCCCAAAUUCUUAAGUAACAUUAUCAAAGGCUUCAGAUCAAGCACUGAACAGAAAAUGGACCAAGUACAAGAUUUCUCCCACCUGGGGAACAUCUUUUCUAAUCCACCAUACUUAAAACCUUUUGAUACCGGUGGCGAUGACGAAAAGAUUGUCGAGCUAAACAUAGGUUUGCAAUAUCUACACUAAGUUACUCCUCCCCGGGUUCCUGCCUCUGACUAAAAAUGGUUUUCUGUAGAUGACAUCGAGAUAGAUGAACCUGUGAUCAUCUUGCCUUUGACAGAGAAAGACAAAAAAGAAAAGAAAGGUAAAAGAUCUGUUCGCCUCAAGUUCUAGUAUCAUUGUGAAUGCAUCAGACGAAUCAUAAGGUUUCUUUGCAGAUAAGAGAACGGAUAAGGAAAAGCUGUUUGACGGUGUAUCCAGCGAUGCACAACCCAAAACGAGAACAGUGGAAGAAAUUAAGUCCAAAUACAGAAAAGCAGGGGUGAGUCAAAACCAAUUUGAUAUACCCAAAGAGCUUCUUUUUUUUGCUUCCAUCUCUAACAUGGUUGGGUAAUUUUCCAGGAAACCUCAGCAAUAGCUUCACAAGCGAAGGACAAACUUCUUGAGCGAGGAGAAAAACUCGAGGUCAUAUUUUACCCCGCAGAGAUUUCACCUUCUUUUACACUGGCAUGUUUCCAAUCUAUGUAACUUACUGAUCCUAACUACAAAACAUCUAUUUUCUUUGUUUGGUCUGCCAGAGAAUCAGCCAACGCACAGCUGAGCUUCAAGACAAUGCUGAGAACUUUGCAUCCAUGGCACAUGAACUUGCUAAGCAAAUGGAGAAGCGAAAAUGGUGGAACAUAUGAGGGAGUUGCAGUCAUUGUGGGUUCUUCGGUAUAUAAACUAAUUAUCUUGGGUUUCCACAGGUGAAAAACUCUCUUUCAUGUUUAUUUAUCAAUCAAAUCUGUAAAAUAGAUUGAUCAAAGGGAGCAACCCUUCUAACUUGAGAAGUUGCUUGUGAGCUGAUUUGAGGCUGCUAUGACUGUCUAUCAGAAUUUUAAAUUUUUUUAAAAAAAAACUUUGUUUCAUUGCUUUAUGAGAUUGGAACCUCAAUUUGUUUUGUCCUUUACUUGAUCCCACAGCUUUACUUGACCACGAAGGACACACUUUGUUUGUUAUGAGUUAUGUCACAUUUGACUAAUGCUUAAAACCCUAAAUCCCGCUUUAUUCCUUCUCCUUUUCUUUCUAGUUACACAACAACACAGAACAGAACACCACACAUUCGUACUUACAUAUCUACUACUGCUAAUUGAAAGACGACCUCAUAAAGAAAUAGCCUUCGAGCUAGAAAAUCACAGAGAAGACUGAUUAAGAGAGAUACACGACGACAAGGAUCGACCAACACAGAAUCCAUCUCUCUUUCUCUCUCCACAUUAUCUCUUCACUCAGAGAGUGCAAAUAAAGAGAGAGACUUUUUUCCUCUUCUCUUCUUGGGUAGAGCUACAAUGGCGAGCUCGAUUUUAUCAGAAUGUGGUAUUAGACCUCUCCCCAGAUUCUACCCUAAACCCACAACCUCUUUUGCCUCUAACCCUAAACCCACUUUCAAAUUCAAUCCACCCGUCAAACCUGCUUCUUCUUCUCUCAAUUCCCGAGAUGGGUUCUACUCUAAAACCAUGCACUGGGCAUUGAAUGUGGCAACGCCUUUAACAACUCUUCAGUCUCCAUCCGAGGAAGACACUGACAGAUUCGACCCAGGUGCACCUCCUCCCUUCAAUUUGGCAGAUAUAAGAGCAGCCAUACCUAAGCAUUGUUGGAUUAAGAAUCCAUGGAUGUCAAUGAGUUAUGUUGUCAGAGAUGUUGCUGUCGUCUUUGGAUUGGCUGCUUUAGCUGCUUACUUCAACAAUUGGCUUCUCUGGCCUCUCUACUGGUUCGCUCAAGGAACCAUGUUCUGGGCUCUCUUUGUCCUUGGCCAUGACUGGUAUCAACUAAUCCCCAUGUUUCAUCUGCUUACUUCAAGUGUUUUGGUCUCUCUCUAUAUUGUUAACCAAGUAUUCAUGUUGUUUACCUUGUAGCGGACACGGUAGCUUCUCGAAUGAUCCGAGGCUAAACAGUGUGGCUGGUCAUCUUCUUCAUUCCUCAAUUCUGGUCCCUUACCAUGGCUGGUGAGUUUUGCUUUCAAUGCCUUCAAUAUAAAGCAAACCUUUCUCUCUUGGUAAUGAAUCCCUUGAAGAACUCACAUUCUUCAUGAAAAUAUUUGAAUUUUCCUUGUAGGAGAAUUAGCCACAGAACUCACCACCAGAACCAUGGGCAUGUCGAGAAUGACGAAUCAUGGCAUCCUGUAAGUUGCACUAUCCAUAACCAAACACAGAUGUCGAAUCCUGGUUUCAUUUGUUAUUAAUAUACCUAAGAUAGAGCUUAUCUUUUUGUGACUGCAGUUGCCUGAAAGCAUCUACAAGAAUUUGGAAAAAACGACUCAAAUGUUUAGGUUUACACUGCCUUUUCCAAUGCUCGCAUAUCCUUUCUAUUUGGUAAUCCUUCUGCAUCUUACUAUAAUCUCUCCACCUGUUUAUGUCAAGUGAAAGAAGCUCAUGUUUCACAUCUGAUUCACUGUGUUCUUGAUGCAGUGGAACAGAAGUCCAGGGAAACAAGGUUCUCAUUAUCAUCCGGACAGUGACUUGUUUCUUCCAAAAGAGAAGAAAGAUGUUGUGACAUCAACUGCCUGUUGGACUGCAAUGGCUGCUUUGCUUGUUUGUCUCAACUUUGUCAUCGGUCCAAUCCAAAUGCUCAAACUAUAUGGCAUCCCUUACUGGGUAUCCUCUACUUCUGUACCUCUCCAUUUCAGAUAAACCGGUUUUUGUAUUCCUUUGUUGUCUCAGAUGUGAAGAUAUUUAUUGGCAUUUCAACACACAAUUAAUGCAGAUAUUUGUAAUGUGGUUGGACUUCGUCACUUACUUGCAUCACCAUGGACAUGAAGACAAGCUUCCUUGGUACCGUGGAAAGGUAUCCAAAAUCUACUUCACCAUUUGUAAUAGAGUUACCUGAGAGCCACUGUUGUUGUGAGAAUCUCAAACGCUUCAUGUACUUUCCCCAAACACAGGAAUGGAGUUACCUGAGAGGAGGGCUCACAACAUUGGAUCGUGAUUACGGAUGGAUCAAUAACAUCCACCACGAUAUUGGAACUCAUGUGAUACAUCAUCUUUUCCCGCAGAUCCCACAUUAUCAUCUAGUAGAAGCAGUAAGAGUUUUCUUGUUGAUGUUAAUUAAAGACUAUUCUGGUGUGGACUUGCUUCAAUAUGGUGUUAACAGUGCUUAACUUUCCAUAUCUAUUCUUUCCCUUUCCUCUUUUUCUAGACAGAAGCAGCUAAACCAGUAAUAGGAAAGUACUACAGAGAACCGAAAAACUCUGGACCUCUGCCACUUCACUUACUGGGAAGCCUUAUAAAAAGUAUGAAACAAGACCAUUUCAUAAGCAAUACAGGAGAUGUCGUGUACUAUGAGGCAGAUCAAAAACUCAAUGGACAAAGAACAUGACGACAGACUGCAAUGAACCAGGAGACAAGUUAUAAAUUCAUCUUGACCCAUUCAUUAUGUUCUUUUUGUUUUGGUGUAAAGCCUUUGCGAGAUUGAAAAGCAUUCAUUUGUAGAAACACGUGGUAAAACUCUCGAUCUAAUGAAUAAUAUAUGAUCAGAACUCAGAAGGAUAUUUUUCAUACAAGGAUCUUGUUCUUGAGAGCCUACCAACACUUUAAAUUUAAAUCUAUUACUGAUGACAUGGACACAACAGGUUGAUGCUCGAAACUAUAGUUACAAGAAAAAUUACCUUGGCUUAUAUUGCUAGCCAUUAGUAGUGUACAGAGUGAACUGCAGUUAUGAAGGAACUUAUCUUAGCCUUAUCCUUCUGGAUGCCGUCUGUACCGCAGAUACCGCUGCUAACAUCAAUUCCAUCAGGUUGAAGGAUAGAAAGAGCUUCUGACACGUUUGUCGGAUUGAUUCCGCCAGCUAAGAGCCACCCAUUUCUGCUUCUGAUAGAAGGUAACUUGAAUUGAGCCCAGUUAAAUCCUUCUCCACUGCAGUAAAUUGUUAUGAUUCUAUCACACUCUUGAUAUUUCAAUCACUUGUGAACGACAAACGGUUUCAUGUACAAGAGCGAUUAUUUAACUUGUUCCUCUUAAGGAGUACAUUACAACGAGACAAACGCGAAGAAUUUGAAAAAAGUUGGUCAAGGUACCUCCCACCCGUUGCACUAUCCACAAGAAUCCAAUCAGCGAGAUGACAAUCCUCUUCAGGAACUUCAGUCAGGAGCUUUCCAUCCUCAUUUGCAUUAAGGACAUAUAUGACUCUCCUUUCGCGUACUAACCUCGAGAAAGCAGCACGCGAACCAUUACCAUGAAGCUGUAAGAAAAUAUAACUAUCAACCGUUUAGAAAGUGAGAAAAUCACCUUGGUGAGACCAAAAUCAAAAUCGAUAAGAAUGUAGACAACCUGCACAAGCUCAAGGUCUGAGGCAUCAGCUGCUCGCAAUAUCGUGUUCUCAUCAUCAUCAACAAAAACACCAACAGAUUUGGCCCCACCAUCCCUCGCCACUUUGGAGAUAUCCUUUGCAACAGAAAGAGAAAUGGAUCGUUUUGAAUUCGGCCAAAUAAUCAUCCCGAUGAAAUCAGCACCAGCCUCAACUGCCAUAGCAGCAUCUCUGGCUGAUGUGAUGCCACACAUCUUAACCAAAGGUCUAUCCUUUCCUCUUUCAUCAUCCUUAGGAGCUACAUUCUCUGUGCUGGAAACACUGCAGGUCAAUUUCCUGUUGUGAGCAUACCCGACUCUCGAGACAGACACCUUUCGAUAGCUUAAACCUGAGAAAAUCCAGUAGGAAACAAGAGAUCAGUGGCAAGCUUCAGUAAUUUACCGGAAACAAAGAGAAUCACACACACAAGGUCUAGUGAAAUCUCGAGAAAAAAAAACUAAAAGUCAAGAAAAGUUACCAGAUUUGUAGGUUCUGGAGAAAUUCAAAGCUCUAGAAUGAGCGAGGAGAUCUGUGGAUAUUCCUGAGGAAAAGAAGAAAGCUCUGCUUCAUCAACUGAUCUUAGAAUAAAGUUUACUAUUAACAAAACAACACAAGCUCUGAAUUUACAAGACGAUCGAGAUUCCUCUUAGUAAAUGAAGAUGACAAGCAAAAAAAUUUAAUAGAAGAUGGAUCAUCACUAAAGCAGAUUGAUAGCAGCUAAACACUAGUUGAUAAGCUCUUUGAGUAAAAACAUCGAACAAGUUAUCUGCAUUUCUCCCAACGAGCUCAUCACCAGGAGAAGAAUACCUGUAGGCAUCUUAAUUCCACUGCCGGAAUCGCAGAUGAUAUCGAAUUUUCUCCCAGAGGAGGAUCAGCAGAGACGGCGGUUGUACGGCUGAAGAAGAUCGACAAGAAUGGCGGAAAAACAAAAAACGAAUCUACCAACUUUUUGUUAGGUGUACUUAAACCGAAUAAUCGAAUUUCUGUUUGGUUUUUGGAAAACCGAAGCAACAAUUUGCUUUCGGUUUAGAUGUCGAAUUGGAAACGGGCUCGGUUUACUUAAUUAUCGGUCGAACCAAUCGUACCACAGAUACAUAAUUUCCAGAAAAAUAUUAUUUCAAUAAAUAAUUCAUGAAUAUAUAUUCCAAUAAAUUUUCAUUUUUAAAGUCUUAGAUUUUUUUAUCAUACGUUGAAAAUUCAUGAUGUUUGUUCUUAUCGUAUUCGAGCUCAAUAAUCUUCUAUGCAUUAAUUGACAAGUUGGUUAGAAAAAAAAUAUGAUGUAUAUGGUUUUAUCUUUUUUUUUUUUGAAGAAAAUGUAUAUGGUUUUAUCAUAUUCAAAUUCAAUAAUCAUCUACAUAUUAAUUGACAGUGUAAUUGCAAAAUCAGAAAACACAAAACAAAUGCACGGAAUGAUCUAUCUUUAUUCAUAGGUUCCAAUGCUUUUAUAGGGAAAUACAUGAUCAACAACAAACGAAAAUAACGGACACACAACUCAACUAGUUCAACUAGUUCCACCAAUAGCUACAAAAUAGGAAACAGAACUUGACUCCUUCAGACCUAAAGAAUCGGUCUAAGAUCAUUAUUCAAAUAACAAAUGCUGACUCAACAAUCCCUCCCUUGAACUGAACUCGAUUAAGAGUCACAGUUCACAAUGCUCAACCCGAACGCUUCCCUGAUCCGUUGGAAUGAUGCCAUCUUCAACGGCUUAGUCAUGAUAUCGGCCAACUGCUCCUCUGUGCUGCAAUGAACCAACUCCACAACUCCUUCCUUAGUUAGUUCUCUGAGAAAGUGAUAACGAACUCUGAUAUGUUUUGACUUCCCGUGCAUGACUGCAUUUCUUGACAACUUGAUAGUGGAGGUGUUGUCACAAAACAAAGUCAUCCUCUCCUCUUGUGCAUAACCAAUUUCUUUCAAUAUUCUCUUCAUCCAGAUAGCCUGACACGCACAGGUGGCUGCUGCUACAUACUCUGCCUCGGUUGAUGAUAAUGUCACGAUCGGUUGCUUCCUGGAUGACCAAGCUACAGCCCCUCCACUCAGCAGAAAAACGUAACCGGAGGUGCUCUUGCAGUCGUCUAUGUCCCCCGCAUAGUCACUGUCGGUGUAACCCAAGAGAUCCCCAUUUCCUCUUCUUCCAUACCAUAUCCCAAACUCCAAUGUUCCUUUUAAGUACCUCAUGAUUCUUUUUGCUGUAGCUAGAUGUAACUCAGUUGGAUUUGCCAUAAAACGAGAAAUGAGACAUACCACAAACAUGAGAUCUGGUCUUGUGGCUGUGAGAUACAUCAAGCUCCCCACCAUUUGCUUGUAAAAAGUUGAGUCCACCUUUGCUCCAGCCUCAUCUCGCCCAACUUUGUGUCCAGGAACAAUCGGAUUGGAAACAGAGUUGUAGUUCUGCAUCUCGAAUCUCUCAAUCAGCUCUGCGGCAUACUUCCUCUGGCAUAUGAAGAUCCCAUCAGGUUUUUGAAUCACUUCAAUGCCAAGAAAGUACCUCAUCAUUCCCAAAUCUGUCAUGUCGAACUCAUCUUUCAUGGACUUCUUGAACUCACUCAACAUUUCUUCAUCAUCACUAGUGAACAACAGAUCAUCAACGUAAAUGCUUACGAUUAGAACUUUACCUCCCUUCCGUUUGAUGAACAAAGUUUGUUCACUAGAACUGUUCUCAAAGCCUUCUUUGAUGAAGUAAGACUCAAUACGACUAAACCAGGCUCUGGGUGCCUGUUUUAAUCCGUAUAAAGCCUUGUGAAGCUUGUAAACCAUUUCCAUCUUUCCUGCUACCUCAUAUCCCUGUGGCUGCUCCACAAACACCUCCUCUCGUAAUUCUCCAUGUAAGAACGCAGACUUGACAUCGAGUUGAUAGAUCCCCCAUCCCUUUUGUGCUGCAACUGCGAUGAUCAAUCUCACUGUAUCCAUCCUGGCUACGGGUGCAAACACUUCGGUGUAAUCAACUCCGUAUUUUUGCGCAUAUCUCUUAACCACCAAACGAGCCUUGAACUUGUCCACUUCUCCUUUCUCAUUCAACUUAGUUUUGUAAAUCCACUUGACCCCAAUUGCUUUUACACCUGCCGGAAGUGUAGUGAGCGUCCAGGUAUGGUUUCUUUCAAUGGAGAGUAUCUCUGCAUCCAUCGCUUGUUUCCAGUGAGAAUGUCUUGCUGCUUCUGCAAAACUGGUUGGAUCUGCUAUAAUCAUAAAGGCAAGAUUCUCAAUGUCGACUCUGGCCAUGUUGCUUCUUCCUCAGUGUCUUCUUCCUUAGUGUCAGAAAUCUCCUCUCCUGUGACAUAAUCUGCAGACCAAAUUGGAGCUUUUCUAAUUCUGCUUGUUGUCGCUAUCGGUGCAAUUCUGCUUGUUGUCGCUAUCGGUGCAAUCUGGGAGGGAACAUCAACGUUUUCUUCUUCUCUUCCCUCCAUCCCAGUUUCUGCAACGAUCUCAUCUGCAACCUCUGUAACUUCAUAAUCAUCUUCCCAUUCAAGUUCUGCAUCUGCUUCAUUAACGUAACCAGAAUCUUCCCAAUUCCACUUCUUAUCUUCCUCGAAUAUUACAUCUCUGCUGAUGUGAACCUUCUUUAGCACCGGAUCGAACAUCUUAAAGGCUUUGGAUUCACUACUGAAGCCCAACAGGACGCACUUGAUGCUUUUGUCGUCAAGUUUGCUUCUCUUAACAUCAGGGAUGUGAACAUACCCGAUGCAUCCAAACACUCUGAAAUGCUCCACUGAUGGCUUUCUUCCACUCCACGCCUCUUCAGGUGUCAUAUCUCUUACAAUGACUGUAGGAGAACGGUUGAGAACGUGAUUUACCCACUGCACAGCAUCAGGCCAAAACGCUUUUGGCACUUCUUUCUCCAGUAACGCUGCUCUCACCAUAUUCAUGAUUGUGCGAUUUUUGCGUUCAGCAACGCCAUUUUGCUGAGGCGUGAAAGCCGUAGUCAACUGCCUUUUGAUUCCAUGCUCUCUACAGAACUCCUUGAACUCAUUUGAGUUGUAUUCUCCACCUCUAUCUGUUCUCAAACAUUUGAUGACCAGACCAGUUUAUUUCUCUACAAACGCUUUGAAGGUUUUGAAGCAAUGAAAUGCCUCUGACUUUUCCAAAACAAAGUAAAUCCAAGUCUUCCUUGAAAAAUCAUCAAUAAAGCUUAUCAGGUACCUUAUGUUACUGUUCGAUGGUGGACUGAUCGGACCGCAUAGAUCAGAAUGAAUGAGCUCCAGUUUCUUGGUAGCUCUCCACUUGCUCUGUUUCGGAAAAGGAACCCGGUGAUGUUUUCCUUUGACGCAUGCCUCACACGUGACUUUCACAUCACCAAUAUCAGGUAGACCCACGACCAUCUCUUUACUGCAUAGCGUGUGAAGUCCUUUGUAGCUGAGAUGUCCAUAUCGAUGAUGCCACAGCUCUGCCUUGUCUGAGACAUUGAUCUGCAAGCAUCUUUCUUCUUUGGUCUUUUCAUUCGGUUCCCCCAAGAGAAUGAACAUUCGGUUUGAGCUCAUCACAGAUUCUGCAAUUUUUCCUCUUGUGGGAUGGAAAAUACAGCAGGUUUUCCGAUCUCCUCCCCCUUUGAACAGUACAUCCAGGCCUCAUUCUUGGAGUUGUCCAACACUUAGCAAGUUGUUCUUCAGUUCCGGUACAUAAUAGACAUCAUUGAUCACAUAACUUACCCCAUUAAGAGUGAUCUUCACCACCCCUUUGCCACCAACCGUCAGCUUAUGGUUGUUCCCGAGUUUCACAUUGUGUGUGAAAGUCGUAUCCAGGCUCGAAAACAUGUUGCUCUCCCCACACAUGUGGUUUGAACAGCCAGAAUCCACAAACCAGGCGUCGCUCCUCUUUGUUCCGCAGAACUCUAUGUAUGCCAUCAAUAGAACUUCCUCUUUCUCCUCCAAUUCUGCAUAGUUUGCUCCAUUGGAUCCAUCUGGACAUUCAUACGCAAAAUGUCCCAAUUUGUGGUAAUUGUAGCACUCAAUAGUGGCCUUGUUGAAGGAGCGGCCUCCUCUGCCUCUUCCUCGUCCUCUGUAGAAGCCUCUGCCCCUCCCUCUAACAGUGAGUGCCUGAUCUUCCUCUUCAUGGCUCGAUUUUCUGAAUUUCUUCUCGUGCACGGACAGUGAGCUCUGCAACUCAUCGACGGUCAUGCUGCUCGUAUCUUUGGACUCUUCGAUCGAUACCACUACGUAUGUGAAUUUAUCGGUCAGGGUGCGAAGAAUCUUCUCCACAAUCUUUGAAUCUGGCAUACUCUCGCCAUUACUCCUCAUCUUGUUUGCUACCAUCAUCACUCUCUUGAAAUAAUUGUCAAUGCUUUCAUCGCCUUUCAUGACAAGAACUUCAAAGUCUCUCCUCAAGGUUUGGAGAAGCGAUCUCUUGACCCGUUCAUUCCCUCCAAACUUUCUCUUCAUGGACUCCCAAAUGAUCUUAGAAGUUUUCCGGUCUAAGAUCUGCUCAAACACCUCCCGCUCAAUGGCUUGAAACAGGUAGUACUUGACUUGAUGAUCCUUCUUCUUCAGAUCCUCAAGACUCUUCUGCUGCGCUGCAGUUGUCUCGAGUCCUGCUGCUGUCUCAGGUAUGCCUUCUUCUACGAGACUCCACAACCCCUUUGCUCGCAAGAGGUUCUCCAUCAGCUCGCUCCAAUGAUCGUAGUGACCAUCGAACCGGGGAAUCGUAAUCGUCUUAUCUUCACUCAUCUCUCUUUCACCGUUCUCUCUCUUCUUACUUUGAUCACUCUAAGAUUGUGUUUUGCUCUGAUACCAAAUGUAAUUGCAGAAUCAGAAAACACAAAACAAAUGCACGGAAUGAUCUAUCUUUAUUCAUAGGUUCCAAUGCUUUUAUAGGGAAAUACAUGAUCAACAACAAACGAAAAUAACGGACACACGACUCAACUAGUUCAACUAGUUCUACCAAUAGCUACAAAAUAGGAAACAGAACUUGACUCCUUCAGACCUAAAGAAUCGAUCUAAGAUCAUUAUUCAAAUAACAAAUACUGACUCAACAGACAGUUGGUUAGAAAUAUUAUAUUUUGGUGUUUGAUAAUCCGAAUCUCAAAAUUUUCUAACAACGACAAUAUAUAUAUAUAUAUUUCGGAAAAUCCAAAGUUUUGUAAAUUUCCGUUAACAACAAACAAAAAAUCCGUAAAAUUUCGAAGCUAAUUGAUAAAUUUCAAUAAUGUUAUCUCAGAAAUUGUGGGUAAGGAAUUUCUACAACAACAUGUCAUUUGUCAAUAUCUACUUGAAUAAGAUUCAAUGAGUGCCAAGAAAUGAUCACCUAAUAAUAGAUUUCUGGACGAAAUAAAUAUGGGUUUAAGUUAUGUGAAGAUUGUCGCUCUACUAACUACUGUUUUAUUUAACUAACGAAUCGCAAGUUGAAAAAACAAAAUAGAACAAAAAAAUUUCUUUUUAAAUACCAAAGUGUGAACGCAAAUACGCAAUGUUAUUCCAAGGCACAUGAUGAGACAUGCAAAGACAACAUUUGCCGACAUCUCUAGUUACACGGCAGUUCCUCCAUCAAAGUGAGCCCCCAACCUUACAUAAUUGUCUCCCUCUGUUUAAAACACGUGCUAAAUGUGAUUUUAUGUAUAUAACUUACCAAACUAUUCAUUUUUCUUUAAAAACUUUUUAAAUGCAAAUUUAGCGGAUUUAUUCGAACAGCUAAAAUACAGAACAAAUUUCCAAAUGUUUAUUUUAAUAUUAGAAAACAAACUUAAUUUUCAUUCGUUUCGUCCUUGUUAGGCGCAAACUAAUCUCUCUAACUAUCCUUUUUUUUUUUUUUGAAAAAAUCUCUCUAACUAUCCUUUUAGGCUCAAUCAAACUCUUCUCUCUUUACGCGAAAAUUCAUAUUUUUGACACACAAAAAAAGACAACGCUUUCUGUCUUCUCCUUCGUCCAUUUUUUAAAACUAAUGCUCCAUAGUUUAUUUAUACUUAUACGGCCGGUUUCGUCCUUAUUUACACAAUUGGAUAACACUACCAUGUAUGGUAAUCAAUCAACAUUUAACUAUAUAUAGAUAUAUUAUAUAAAUUAUGUAGAAUAUGAUAAUUAUUUUUUUAAGUAGUUUCUUUGUUGGGAUUUGGGAUGAGAGCUAGACUAGCAUUUCUAGAGAAUUUUCUUGUUAAUUACGUACUUUACUACUUUACCAAAAAAAAUGAAAAAUUCUCUAAUGUACUAUUGAAAAACUUGUUCGAUGUGACCUAUAUGUGUGCAAAGUGUACGGAUUACAUAAAUGUAAACACAUUUAAAUUCACACUCCUAAAGUAAUCACUUUGCUAAACAUGGAGAGGCUCAAUUCUACUUUCAUGAUAACUUAAUGGAAGCCGCCGUAAUGCGCUUCAACUAUUUUCACCAUUUAAAAAACGUCGAUGCAAUUGGAACAUUCGGUCGCACCAAAGUGUAGUACUCAACUUCAUUUUAAUAUCUAAAAUAAGACUUACUCAAACAAUAUCUUUUAGAGAAUAUUAAGAUCAUUCUAGCCGAUAAUCAUGAUUGUCAACAAACACUGCCGCUUGCCAGACAUAAUUAAUUCAUAAACAAAACUGGCUCAAUUGCAUAGUUGUAACAUUUAGAUGAUGUAUGCGGAGCAAGUUUGAAACUAAUCGGAUUUGAUUAACUUUGUCAAUGAAAGUAGAUAAGGUAUAUUCCAGAGUUCUCAUGAGGAAACUUAACUACAUAUAUAGAAGCGAUUUAGUAUACAUACAAAUCAGUAGGAAAAAAAAAACGAAAACUCCAUAAAUAAUAUAUAGAAUCUUUUUGGAACUAGCUAGCUAGUUGAUUAGUUGUGUCUCUUAAAAAGUAAGGCCCGCAUGAUGUGGAGGCUUGCGAGCGAGGCGGCUAGACUGUUAAUUUGUGUUAUAUUGGAAUUACAGUAGAGUGCAGAGAGAUGUGGUGUACUCAUCAGAAUAAUUUUUUUUUUUUUUUUUCAGAAUUAUUUGUUCUAAGUUCCAGAAAGUCAGAAACACAAGACAAUCGAUUAAAAAAGCAUGUUCGGAAAGACUUAUAUUAAAAAGAAAAACAACUUGGAAAAGAAUAUUUCCAAAAAGACAAGAAAUUAAACAUUAUCACAUUGGCUUUUAGAUCCUAUUGUAUCAUUCAAUGUAUUAUUGACAGAUAACAUUUGACCUACGUAAAAUGUUAGUAUUAGUAUUAUCGAUUAUAUAUAAAGAUCUCCGAAAUCUGUAUUUGAGUAAAGUAUUCUUGCAUUCAACGUUUUCUCUUUUUAAAGCUUUACGCCAUUAACGACGUCAUCCUAUAUGUCUUGAUUAUUAUCCCACGUGGUACCGAUAUAUAACCUUAUAUAAUUGUAGCAAAACAAAAAAUUUGUUUUCUUUUAUUUGCGUCUCAAUUCAUUUAUCCAAGGCGUUGACUAAAUUUGUGAGGAAAAUUAAAAAUAAAAUAAAAUUACAAGCAUGCAUAGCCUAGAACCAUCUCUAAUGAGGAUUUCUUAUCUAAUAUUUUGCAAUUAAAAUAAUAAAAAAAUAGAAAAAAGAAAAGAGAAAAAAACAUGUUUCUCAUGCGAGAAAUCUUAAGACACUCUUUUUUUUUUUUUUUUUUCGACAAAAUCAGAUUUCAUUAAUUUUCAAAGUAUUACAAAGACAUUAUACAGAAUUACUGUAACACAAUUAUUAUAUACGCGGCUGUAUGUGCCAUACACUAAGAAAAAUACAGCAGAAGGGAGAUUGACGAUGCUUUCCGAAGAGUAGUCUUACUCGCUAACCGAUCAUACGAUCUGUUAUUGUCCAACUUCAUAUUUGAUUUUUCUUUGUUACGAUUUGCAUGCAGCAUCUUGUGGCUGAACUUUCUUUUUGCGAACCGUAACUGUAAACCCGAUGUGUCCAAACAUAACUCUGAAAUGUAGACAUAGUGGUACCAAGGCUUCCGUACCAAAGUCUUUCUGGAAUAUCUAGCCUCUGUAACUUUCUUCAACAUAAUCACAAAUAACUUUACCGUAGUAGCAAUUGCGACCUUAACAUCUUUUGAGAACAGCUUCUUGCCAAAUUUCAGCAAAUCUCUAUAGCUUACCUGGAAUGACCAAAGAUCUCGGCGCAAUAUCCGGUUGUUUAGAGAAACAACUUGUGAUGUGAUGGAUCCUACACCACGAUCAGCAUCAUCAUCACCAACAGUCCAUCCGUGUGGAAUUUGAGAAGUCAUAGUCCCGAGAUUUUGUUUUUGUGGAUUCAACGAUACCAUGACAAGGAGGAAAUGAUUUGUCAUCACCAUCUCUUCUAUAUGGUCCAUAGAUAGAGUAAUGGGAAAAGCAUCAAUUACAAUGUGAAUUCCUUGAUUAUUGCGUCCAACUUGAUCUCUGAAAAUUUGAAAUCCUUGAUGCGCAAAUUGAAAUCCAUUCAUCCAUGACGGUUUCCGUAGUCGAUUUUUACUCCGAGAUUCUAUCCACAUACGAAUGAUUUUGGGAUUCUUAUUUCUUAUUUUUUCCCACCAUUGUUUCUUAGCAACCAUCCACGACGAUACAUACCGGAGAUCACAAGAUAAAUGGCCGAAUGAAAACAAUCCAUUAUCGUAUUUGAAGUAAACGUAUUCACUCCCAAAUAUAAACAAGUUGAAGCCGAUGGUAGCGUCGAUUAAACUCAUUUUUGUUUGAGAACCAUACCCGAUACGAUUUCUGAGAAUCUUAAGACCUCCAAGCAAAGUGUGUACGCCAUGGAUUCCGGGAUCAAAAACCCAAGUGAAACCUCCAUACCAUCGAGUAGGAGGACAUCCACCGGUUAAAAACCGGAAAUUCCACCGGCAAACACCGGAAAUAAACCUUCUAAACUAAAGGACAUAACGAUUCUUUGGAAUCGAAAUUGGAUUGGCCCAAAUUUGAGAAGAUCUCCAAUUGUGACGGAAACGAAUUGAUGCUACUCUUGUCACACUCGGAUACAAAAAUCUGAAUACAAUUUGGGUGUGUUGUAACGCUACCCAAAUUAGAGAUGAAUCCGUUAUCGAGACUGUGUAACGAAUUGAAGUCGUCGGACUCGUACCAAUCAACACCAUCGUUAAAAGAAGGGCAAAAAAGAGGAUUUGUGAUUCUGAAUUUGUCAUGAAAUCACCUAAGUCAAUAUUGAAAGGGAAGAUAAGAACAAGAAGGAAAAGGAAGAGCCGACCGACGCCGGAGAAGCCAGCG
rnacentral:lncRNA from 1 species